CUACUUCCGGGAACUGCCCGAGCCGCUCCUCACGGACCGACUCUACCCAGCCUUCAUGGAGGGCAUCGGUGAGGCCCUGAGGGCUCCUAGGGCUGGGCUGGGCCAGACUGAGCCAGGACUCCCUGCCCGGAGAAGUAACCAGCAGGAGAAAUAUCUGUGGCUUCCUCUGCUGGCUGACCUUCCCAGUGCACUGGGGCCUGUGGCUGAGGGGCCCGAGGGUGAGGUGUGGCCUGCUAGGACCUGGUGCAGACACUAGGCCCUUUCUCGCCUGCCUCUUGCCCCUGAUGUCCCCAUGGGCAGCCCCUUCUGCUUCCUGUUUGGACGUUGGCCUCUUGCUUGGAAGCUCGAGCAUCCAGGGAAGACUGCCCUGAGCCCUGUCAGACCCUGCUGCCAAGGAAAACUGCAUGAUGCACCUGCUCCGCUCCCUGCCCGACCCCAACCUCAUCACCUUCCUCUUCCUGCUGGAACACUUGGUUGCCGAGAAGGAGCCCAUCAACAAAAUGUCACUUCACAACCUGGCUACCGUGUUUGGACCCACGUUACUGAG
rnacentral:sRNA from 1 species